rnacentral:lncRNA from 1 species
UGGGGUCUUAACCUUUCAAUUAAAUUACAAAUAAUAAAAAAUAAUCAAAGAUCAAUUUAAAAUUAAUAUAAAAUAUUUAGAGAUCAAUUUAUAAAUUAAAAUAUUUUAAAGAUUUAUAUAAUUCUCAAAAUUAUUUAGAGAUUAAUUGAAUUCUUCAUAUGAAUUAAACCCAUUUUAAUUAAGAUCCUAAUUCACUUUACACACG